rnacentral:rRNA from 1 species
CCCUUAGAUGUUCUGGACCGCACGCGUGCUACACUGAGUGGAUCAGCGGGUCAGGUUGCGCGAAAGUGUUUCCUAAUCUUGAAAUCCGCUCGUGAUGGGGAUUGACGGUUGCAAUUUUCCGUCAUGAACGAGGAAUACCUUGUAAGCGCGGGUCAUCAUCCCGCGCUGAAUACGUCCCUGCCCUUUGUACACACCGCCCGUCGCUCCUACCGAUUGAGUGGUCCGGUGAGGCUUUGGGAUCUGAGCGGAAAGAGCGUUUCGCUGUUUCUGCCCGGAAAACUCAGUCGAACCUUAUCAUUUAGAGGAAGGAGAAGUCGUAACA